rnacentral:rRNA from 1 species
CGUGAGCAAUCUGGCCCAUGUCUGGGGGAUAACAGUUGGAAACGACUGAUAAUACCGCAUAAUAUGGUUUGAAGGCAUCUUCUUUCCAUCAAAGAUUUAUCGGAUAUGGAUGAGCUCGCGUCUGAUUAGCUUGUUGGUGAGGUAACGGCUCACCAAGGCGACGAUCAGUAGCCGACCUGAGAGGGUGAUCGGCCACAUUGGAACUGAGACACGGUCCAAACUCCUACGGAAGGCAGCAG